ACGGAGGGAGCUAGCGUUGUUCGGAAUUACUGGGCGUAAAGCGUACGUAGGCGGCUUUGUAAGUCAGAGGUGAAAGCCCACGACUCAAUCGUGGAACUGCCUUUGAGACUGCUUCGCUUGAAGAUGGGAGAGGUUAGUGGAAUUCCGAGUGUAGAGGUGAAAUUCGUAGAUAUUCGGAAGAACACCAGUGGCGAAGGCGGCUAACUGGACCAUUCUUGACGCUGAGGUACGAAAGCGUGGGGAGCAAACAGGAUUAGAUACCCUGGUAGUCCACGCCGUAAACGAUGAUAACUAGCUGUCGGGGCUCUUGGAGCUUCGGUGGCGCAGCUAACGCAUUAAGUUAUCCGCCUGGGGAGUACGGCCGCAAGGUUA
rnacentral:rRNA from 1 species